UAGGCGUGUUUAUAAAAGUAGGCUUGUGUAUUAGCAUCGUGAAGUGAAGCCCUCCAUUUCUAGAGGUCACUUUACGCCUUUGUGAGGCGCCUGAUGUACUAAGUCAUUGUUGUGGCUGUUGUUGACGUUUAAUCCGGUCAAUGCACCUUUCCACUGAUACCCUUUCUCUAAUUAAUUGAAUUAUACCUCAUCUAUAUUGCUCGUGCAUGCUCUAGUAGGUUCGCAGUCAGCGAGUUGCGUAUAGCGCAUGCAUGUCGGACCCUCCCAAGUACUCCUAUCAACCAUUGACGAGUCAGCCACCGAACCACGCGACGGAUGACCCUCCCAAAUAUUCUGAUGCACCCUCGACUACUCAUCCACCGAACAACAACGUUUACCCUCAACAUGUCUACCCAAUGUAUCCCGCACAGCAUCAAGUUGUGACCCACUACCAGGUGAAAGAUUACUUCGGACUGUCUGUCUUUACCUAGCUGUUCUGCUGCUUUCCAAUUGGAAUAUUUGCCCUUCUAAACUCGUUAAAGGUUCGCAAAGCUAUCACUGCUGGUGACGAAUUUAGUGCCACUGAAGCGUCUACUAAUGCUCGACGACUGAACAUCGUUGGAAUUGUAUGUGGCGUCUUAAUCUUCACCAUCUUAAUUAUUGUGUCUUGUGUGUACGUUGCGAAUAAGUCUUCUUGCUAUAAGGACACUAAUGGUCAGAAAAUAUGUUAAUCGCAAAGAUGGAUGUGAUCAAUCGGAUCUUGAACAAUUUGUUGUUAGAUAGA